UGCAGGUUUGGGCUACGGUGUCGUUCGAUGAGGACUCCCUUGGAACCAGGGCGUGUGCUGGUGUUGGCAAUUGCAGCAUUUGUCUGAUAUCGCAUCGGGUCUUUGGGAUCUGUGGGAGCGUUUUUUGCGAUCUGCACCACAUCUUACCUGCAGUGUAGAAAUCGGAUAGCAGGUACUCUGUUCCAGAGGCACUCCAUGGCCAGAGUCACCCAAGAUUCUCUUGCGCCUUUCCACCCACGAAGUAGGCCUUAGGUUGCGGGAUCGGGUUUUCGUUUCCGGGGUCUAAAAAAGGAAUCUACAAGUUCAGUAAGAUGUCACACAGCUAAAUCCAGCGGAUGUGUCAUCGGGGACAGUACAAUGUGGUCGAUAUCACGCAGAUUAGAUACUAGUCCCUUGCAAAUAAAUUUUAAGCACCUAGAAAUGGGAAAUAGGAAAUGUAAUUAAUAAAUUGCUAUAUAUAAUCGAC